AUUGAACGCUGGCGGCAUGCCUUACACAUGCAAGUCGAACGGUAACAGGUCUUCGGAUGCUGACGAGUGGCGAACGGGUGAGUAAUACAUCGGAACGUGCCCGAUCGUGGGGGAUAACGCAGCGAAAGCUGUGCUAAUACCGCAUACGAUCUACGGAUGAAAGCGGGGGAUCUUCGGACCUCGCGCGGACGGAGCGGCCGAUGGCAGAUUAGGUAGUUGGUGGGGUAAAGGCUUACCAAGCCUAGGAUCUGUAGCUGGUCUGAGAGGACGACCAGCCACACGGGGACUGAGACACGGCCCAGACUCCUACGGGGGGCAGCAGUGGGGAAUCUUCCGCAAUGGACGAAAGUCUGACGGAGCGACACCGCGUGGGUGAAGAAGGCCUUCGGGUCGUAAAGCCCUGUCAUUAGGGAAGAAACGUAGUAUGAUUAAUACGCAUAUUACUUGACGGUACCUAAGGAGGAAGCCCCGGCUAACUAUGUGCAGCCGCCGCCGUAA
rnacentral:rRNA from 1 species